UGCUUGGGAUGAUACAAUUGAUUACCAUAUAAUAAUAAAGUAACAUCAAAGGUUCUAUUCAUAUGCUACACUAUAUUCAACUGUGCACAAAAAUGGCAGCCACAUCUGAUACAUGUUACUGAUCUGGGGCCAAAGAGAAGGGAAAGAAUAGGGGCACCCCAGAACCAGGAUUGGGUCUAUACAUAAAAAACUUGACCAACAUUUAAGAGACUUUCAUGAGGUACAUUUAAGAUCACACUAUGUUCCCUACAUAUCUUAGUAAGAAAUGCAUAUAUAUAAUCAAUAGCUAUUUUCUUGUAGAAUGUUGAUUCCCUACUUGCCCUCACUAUUGUGUUUCCUAGCAUGUGAACCACCCCAGCAUCCUUGCAGUUGUUCAAAUAUUCAAGUUCCUCAAUCUCAAUCUUGAUGCUUAUAGGUCUUUAUAGCCGUAUCGUGCAACACAUCGAAACAUGUGGAAAUUCUUCGGUCCAAUUCGCUUGACAAGGAAUCGCUCUUCGUCUG